rnacentral:lncRNA from 1 species
UAUCCAAUUUGCUUGCAUUUCUUUUAUACCAUACCAUUCUGGGAGGUCAGACAAAGCAUCAAACAUAGCCUUUGCAUACGCAGUAGUUUUGAUAAACCAUUGUUUGAGGUACUUCUGUUCCACUUUUGCUCCUGAACGCCAUGAGCAACCAUUGUCAUCCACCUGUUCAUUAGCUAGAACAGUUUGAUCUACUGGAUCCCAAUUGACCAAGGCCUCUUUUUGAUACACCAUCCCA